AGCUCGUAGUCGGAUUUCGGGGCGGGCCGGGCGGUCUGCCGAUGGGUAUGCACUGUUCGGCGCGUCCUUCUUUCCGGAGACCGCGCCUACUCUUAGCUGAGCGGGCGUGGGAGACGGAUCGUUUACUUUGAAAAAAUCAGAGUGUUUCAAGCAGGCAGCUCGCUCUUGCAUGGAUUAGCAUGGGAUAAUGAAAUAGGACUCUGGUGCUAUUUUGUUGGUUUCGAACACCGGAGUAAUGAUUAACAGGGACAGUCAGGGGCACUCGUAUUCCGUCGAGAGAGGUGAAAUUCUCAGACCAAUGGAAGACGAACCACUGCGAAAGCAUUUGCCAGGGAUGUUUUCACUGAUCAAGAACGAAAGUUAGGGGAUCGAAGACGAUCAGAUACCGUCGUAGUCUUAACCAUAAACCAUGCCGACUAGGGAUUGGAGGGUGUUCUAUUUGACCCCUUCAGCACCUUACGGGAAACUAAAGUCUUUGGGUUCCGGGGGGAGUAUGGUCGCAAGGCUGAAACUUAAAGGAAUUGACGGAAGGGCACCACCAGGAGUGGAGCCUGCGGCUUAAUUUGACUCAACACGGGGAAACUUACCAGGUCCAGACAUUGUUAGGAUUGACAGAUUGAGAGCUCUUUCUUGAUUCGAUGGGUGGUGGUGCAUGGCCGUUCUUAGUUGGUGGAGUGAUUUGUCUGGUUAAUUCCGUUAACGAACGAGACCUUAUCCUGCUAAAUAGUGGCGCGAACUUUCUGUUGGCGACCUUCACUUCUUAGAGGGACAAACUUGCUUUCAGCAAGUGGAAGUUUGAGGCAAUAACAGGUCUGUGAUGCCCUUAGAUGUUCUGGGCCGCA
rnacentral:rRNA from 1 species